rnacentral:lncRNA from 1 species
GCGUAAACCGGGAAGCGGAUCGCGUGGAGUGAAAGUCACCGCAGCGGAGAUGGACAAACCAUGUGGGUGCCCUCCAGGUGUGUGCGACCAUGAAAUGGGAGACUAGCAGGACCCACGUUGGCCAACCGUGGACCUGGUCCCUCCAGUAGGAGUCGUGAGCCAGCUGAAUUUGAAUGCAAAGAUGGAGCAAGGGCCGACUGGAGUCACACUGACAUCCACCCCCAUAACAUGGGGACAGAUCAAGAAAACAAAGCAGGAAGCUGAGAAAAUGCUGGAGCAUCCAUGUGCUUGGCCAUGUUAGCAGUAGUGUCCUGUGAGGAUUGAUUUCCAAAAACUCCUGUUACAUGAGGAAGACACCAAGAAGAGCAAAGAAAAGGAGCCAGGGUGGCUCUUCCUCAGGUGCAGUGGCUCACCCCUGUAAUCUCAGCACAUUGGGAGGCCAAGGUGGGCAAAUCACCUGAAGUCAGGAGUUCAACACCAGCCUGGCUAACAUGGCAAAACUCUGUCUCUACUGAAAAUUCGAAGUGCAGUGGGCACCUGUAAUCCCAGCUACUCAAGAGGCUGAAAUCUUUGAAUUCAAGAGGCAAAGAUUGCAGGAGCCGAAACGGCACCAUUACACUCCAGCCUGGGCGACAGAGCAAGACUCCGUCUCAAAAAAACAAAGAAAGAAACAAACAAAAAUUUCCAUAACCUGCAAAGACUACUUUCUCCACUAGAACUCUUUGUUAUUUAUGUCAGAAUUAUUUCUGUAUAUGUUGCAUUUUCAUUAACAUAUAUGUACAGUGUUUUUUUUGUGCUUUUUUCUGCUAAAUAAUUGGAAAAAAAAG